AGGUCUGCAACAAGCGUGAGAAAUCACCAGGAACAUAAUGCUGAUGUAUCUGGGAUACUAUAAUAGAUUUAAAGCACUUCACACAGAUUGCAAUACUGCUGAGGUAAAACUGACUACAGUAAGCAAAAUCUUCCCGACUACCCUAUUUAUGAAGAGGGACUACAUUGACAAUUCUCCCAUCUUUUGGAACAACUCCUCUUAACAGUGUUGUAUUAAUUAAAUCAGCGAAUGGAGUAGCUAUCACAGAGCAAAGUUCCCUUAGAACCCUUGGAUUCAUAUUAUCUGGACCCACAGACUUAUUUACCCUUUUUAAAAAAAAAACCCUUGAAACCUACCCACAUUAUUUAAGGUAAAAUCCCUUACUAGAAUUUCACGAUCUUUACAAUCUGUUGAAAGACUGAACAAAAGUAAUAAUUUAGACCAUUUGCUAUUUAUCUCCUAUCACUACUCCAUCGUCAGUCUUGGGUCUUACUAUAUCUCUGUUAGUUUUUCUUUUUUCACUGAUAUAUCUAAAGAAUGUUUCGUCACCAUUUUUUACAGAUUGUGUUAUUUACUCUUCUGCAUCAGCUUUAUACUUUCUGAUUAA